rnacentral:rRNA from 1 species
UCAUAAGCUACUAAGAGCAUAUGGUGGAUGCCUUGGCAACCACAGGCGAGGAAGGACGUGGCAAGCUGCGAUAAGCGUCGGUGAGGAGCACACAUCCUUUGACCCGGCGAUUUCCGAAUGGGAAAACCCAUACCGAGUCAUGUCGGUAUAUCGCUGGACUUCGGUCCAGUGAAGCAAACCCGCUGAAGUGAAACAUCUCAGUAAGUGGAGGAAGAGAAAGAAAUCUCAAUUUCCCUAGUAGUGGCGAGCGAAAGGGAAACAGCCUAAACCGACCAAUGCGUUAAAGCGUGCAGGCGUUGCAUUGGCGGCGUUGCGGGAUUUAGUCGCAACAACUGCUCAGAGUUGGAGGAGUCAGAAAAACUUUUUGAUAGCCGAAAAGUUCUGGAAAGAACAAUCCAUAGACGGUGAUAGUCCAGUAGGCGAAAUCGAAAAGUUCUCCUCUGAUUAAAUCCCAAGUACCACGGAGCACGAGAAAUUCCGUGGGAAUCUGUCAGGACCAUCUGAUAAGGCUAAAUACUCGUGGUUGACCGAUAGUGAACAAGUACCGUGAGGGAAAGGCGAAAAGAACCCCUGGCGGGGAGUGAAAUAGAACCUGAAACCGUAUGCUUACAAUCAGUGGGAGCCCUGCUUAUCUUUCCGCAAGGUUUAGUAAGCAAGGUGACCGCGUGCCUUUUGCAUAAUGAUCUGACGAGUUAUUUCAUCGAGCAAGGUUAAUGUCUUUGAAGACAGCAGCCGCAGCGAAAGCGAGUCCGAAAUGGGCGAUUAGUUCGAUGUUAUAGACCCGAAGCCCGUGUGAGCUAUCCAUGGUCAGGAUGAACUUCGAGUAACAUCGGAGGAAGGUCCGAACCGGUGGGUCUUGCAAUACCCUCGGAUGAACUGUGGAUAGGAGUGAAAGGCUAACCAAACCGGGUGAUAGCUGGUUCUCCCCGAAAUGUUUCUAGGAACAGUCUUUGAUGUUUGGUGACGGCGGUAGAGCACUAAAUGGGCGAUCUCCAACUAAGUUGGAGAAAACCCGAUUAAACUCCGAAUACCGUCAGCUAUGAGUCAAGGAAAGAGGCAGUGGGGGCUAAGCUUCAUUGCCGAAAGGGGAAUAACCCAGACCACCGGCUAAGGUCCCUAAAUAUAAGCUAAGUGGCAAAAGAUGUGAGUUUACUAAGACAGCUGGGAUGUUGGCUUAGAAGCAGCAAUCAUUUAAAGAGUGCGUAACAGCUCACCAGUCAAGUGGACUUGCGCUGAAAAUUUACCGGGGCUAAAGCUUAAUACCGAAGCCGUGGCAAUUACUCGCAAGAGUAAUUGGGUAGGGGAGCGUUCUGUUGUAGGUUGAAGACGCAUCGCGAGAUGCGUUCGACGAAGCAGAAGUGAUUAUGUCAGAAUGAGUAGCGAUAAUGCUCGUGAAAAACGAGCACGCCGAAAACCCAAGGGUUCCUGGGGAAGGUUAAUCCGCCCAGGGUCAGUCGGCCCCUAAGCCGAGGCUGAGAAGCGUAGGCGAUGGAAAAGCGGUUAAUAUUCCGCUACCAGUUUAAGUUCGUUACGAACUAUGGGGGGACGCAGAAAUAAUAGUUGAGCCGGGUGUUGGAUGUCCCGGUCUAACUGAUUUGGAUGGAGUGUUGGAUAAUAACGCACUCGUAAUUCCGGGUCAGAAAUGGGAUUCUGAGCAAUCAGAAGAACUCGACUUGCUUUUCUGCCGAGAAAAACCUCUAAGUCAGAACUUAGGCUGACCGUACCGUAAACCGACACAGGUGGGUGAGGAGAAUAUCCAUAGGCGCUCGGGUGAGCUCUCGUUAAGGAACUCGGCAAUCUAACCCCGUAACUUCGGAAGAAGGGGUGCCCGCGCAAGCGGGUCGCAGUGAAGUGGUUCUACCGACUGUUUAACAAAAACACAGGUCUCUGCUAAGACGUAAGUCAAUGUAUAGGGACUGACACCUGCCCGGUGCUGGAAGGUUAAGGAAGGAUGUCAUCUGCGAGCAAUCGCGGGGCAGCAUUUAACCGAAGCCCCAGUAAACGGCGGCCGUAACUCUAACGGUCCUAAGGUAGCGAAAUUCCUUGUCGGGUAAGUUCCGACCUGCACGAAUGGUGUAA